rnacentral:misc_RNA from 1 species
UGACAUUCCAGAGGAUGGAGAAGAGGCUCCAAAGGGAGAUGCUGCAAACAAAGUGGGUGCAGGCGAGGAUGCGGAGUGAUGAUCCAAACGAGUAGAAUGUACCAUGUGUAUUUGAUUAAAGGAGGCUGGUGAAACAUCUGGUGGAUUGUUUGUCAAGUGCUAAUAGAUAAUUGUAAGGCACCAACAAAUGAAUAGAUACUUGUUUAUUGGAUCCGUCUUGCUGAAGAUUGUUUUCACAUUAAUUGAUGAAUGCAUAUCAUUUGAUUUGCA